UACGAAGGGGGCUAGCGUUGCUCGGAAUCACUGGGCGUAAAGCGCACGUAGGCGGAUCUUUAAGUCAGGGGUGAAAUCCUGGAGCUCAACUCCAGAACUGCCUUUGAUACUGAGGAUCUUGAGUCCGGGAGAGGUGGAGUGGAACUCCGAGUGUAGAGGUGAAAUUCGUAGAUAUUCGGAAGACACCAGUGGCGAAGGCGGACUCACUGGCC
rnacentral:rRNA from 1 species